GUGAAUCAUCGAAUUUUUGAACGCAAAUUGCACUCUCCGGUUUUCCGGGAGAGUAUGCCUGUUUGGGGGUCAGCCUAAAAAUAAUCGACCUUUUUUCUGUUUUCUGGUGACUUUCGUCCUCGGUGGGUAUUCUUAAAUCUCGGUUUAAGCGACUUAAUCAUUUUUUUUACGAUUCUAAGAAAGUUUCUAUGAUUUUUCUUGUACGUUUAAGCUAUCGAAUUUCUU
rnacentral:misc_RNA from 1 species